rnacentral:lncRNA from 1 species
CUGUGUUUCAAUAAAACUUUAUUAUAAAAGUAGGCAGAAGGCCAAAUUUUUGGGUCCACUUUAGUCAAGCAAUGAUGGAGAGAGGACUUUUGGAUAGCAGGAAAGGUAUCCCACCUCCUCCCCAUGGGGAAGCUGCCUCAGCCAGCUGGUCCGCUUUCUCCCGAGGCACAAACCACAAAGCUCUGGAAAGCUGAGUCCUCCAGUCCCUGUUCAGUGUUUCUGCAUCCUGUCUCUGGCACAGUGCUGGUUGCAGGCUGAGAUGGAGGGAAGCAGGACUGACCAUCACCACCUGGGGAGAGUGGGCCUUUCCAGAAAGUUCCUACUGACCCCUGGACCCUGCACAUGGGAGAGCAAGUGCCUAACACAUGACAUACCUGACAUACUGGACAGGUUAGCACAUACCUGAUGCCACACCAACAAUACUGGAGUAUUUU